AUACCUACCUGGUAGGGGAGGAACCAUGAUCACCAAGGUGGUUUUCCCAACGCAAGCCCUAUCAAUUGUCCUUCGGAUGUGCUGACCCCUGCGAUUUCCCCAAAUGCGGGAAAUUUGACUGCACAGUUUGUGGUAGUGGGGGACAGCGAUCGUGCUCUUCCCCG